AAGCUAGAACAAACAGGCGAGGAGAAGAGAAAUAGCUAGCAGCCUGCAGAAUGGAAAAUACAAAAAGCGAAUCAUACUUUGUUUUCAUGAACUUUGAUCCUCAAUACGCUAGCCUUCGAUCUAAUCAAAGAAAGAAAGGGACGUCAGAUGAGCUGGAUCUGUAUCUGAGCCGGAAGCAUGACGAGCUUUUGGAAAGCACCCUCGAACCAGGAACUUAUAGGAAGACGUUUUCUCUUGUUAUUGCUGAUGGCUUUGCUGUGGAAAUUACUGAGGACCAGGCGAGUAAGCUUAGAUCUGCAAAGGGAGUGAGAUUGGUGGAGAAAAACCAAGAGAUUGCUUAACAAGGGCCGGGAAGGACCAAGUUAAGUAGAUAUCAGUCUGAAUGUGAAAUGCAUUCCGAUGAGUUUAAUUGCAAAUAAGUUAAGUUGGUGUGUGGAUUACAAUUUAGGGUGUGUAGAUUUCACAUCCCUAAAUUAUUUGUAUCAAUGAAGAGUUGUAUGAGAUGAGUUUAUUAAUAUCUAGGUUUGCUAUUAUAAUAUCAUGUAAUGUUGUACGUAGUCUAAUAAGGAUAUCUAUGGGUUAUCUCUCUCUCUGUUGAGAUAUAAAUCUCACAUCGGGGAA